UACGAAGGGGGCUAGCGUUGUUCGGAAUUACUGGGCGUAAAGCGCGUGUAGGCGGGUCUUUAAGUCAGGGGUGAAAUGCCAAGGCUCAACCUUGGAACUGCCUUUGAUACUGGAAGUCUUGAGUUCGAGAGAGGUGAGUGGAACUGCGAGUGUAGAGGUGAAAUUCGUAGAUAUUCGCAAGAACACCAGUGGCGAAGGCGGCUCACUGGCUCGAUACUGACGCUGGAGGUGCGAAAGCGUUGGGGAGCAAACAGG
rnacentral:rRNA from 1 species